UUAAGUUCAGCGGGUAGUCCUACCUGAUUUGAGGUCAGAUUUCAAAUUGCUUGUUGACCGCCGCUCCACAGGCGGUCGGGGUCGCGGCGCAGAAAGGGGAACAUCUCGGUCGAGCGAGGAUGGUACAACGCCCAGUCGAGUUCGACCCGCAGGCCCAACCGAAGCAUUUGGAGGGAGCCGCCCUUCGGCAGCAAAGCCCU
rnacentral:misc_RNA from 1 species